UCCUUGCGCAUUGAGGGCACGUGAGCAC
rnacentral:sRNA from 1 species